UACGUAGGGGGCAAGCGUUGUCCGGAAUCAUUGGGCGUAAAGAGCGCGUAGGCGGCCUUCUAAGUCGAACGUGAAAUCCCUGGGCUCAACCCAGGAACUGCGUCCGAUACUGGAAGGCUUGAAUCCGGGAGAGGGAUGCGGAAUUCCAGGUGUAGCGGUGAAAUGCGUAGAUAUCUGGAGGAACACCGGUGGCGAAGGCGGCAUCCUGGACCGGCAUUGACGCUGAGGCGCGAAAGCCAGGGGAGCAAACGGG
rnacentral:rRNA from 1 species